rnacentral:lncRNA from 1 species
AACUCCCUCCUGGCUGAGGACGGGUGCUAAAGCUUCUUUUCACGAUCUGUGCCUUUGCUAGGACUGCUGAAUAUGUCUUGAGCUCCAGUACUAACAAGUGUUGCUUGAUCUCUGGGCGGAGACCUGACUGGAAUUUCCUGGCCUUUCGGCCCUCAUCCAUCAAUGUCUCCGGAGAGUAUCAGCCCAGCUCGAGGAACUUACAAGCAUACUCUGAUACUGUCAUGUUUUCCUGAACCAGUUGAACAAACUUCGUUUCCUUUAGGUGUCGGAGGUGCUCAGGGAGAUACUCCGCAUGGAAGGCCGCUAGGAACUGCUCCCAAGUGACUGGUGUAGGCAGGGUGGUCUGCUUGAGCUCCCACCAACGUCCUGCUUCCCCUACCAGCAUGAAGGAAGCAAGGGCAGCUCUCUGCUCAGGAACUACUCCCAAGAUCCUGAAAGCUCUCUCAGUCUCCGCCAGCCAGUACUGGGCAUCUUCAAAAGAGGAUCCCCCUGCAAAGGUGGAAGGUUUCAGUCUCUUGUACCUCUCUAUGUAGUCCGGGUCGAUCAAGGAAGGAGCAGGGUCUUGGGGAGGAGGGAC